UUGGGUUCUUUUGCUUUUUAUUUGCAUUCUUAAGAACUUCGGAAUAAUUUUACUUUAAGAGAGAAAAAGAAAUAUGGUAAGCUAAGGAUCCAUCAAAUGGUCUAUUAAGCUUGGAUCCUAUGAGAAAUGUAUUAAUGACUAGGAUGUUUUUUUGAAUAGUGGCUACUGUACAUGGGCAUUGACAACAUUUCUGAAAAAUUUAAUAGGGUUUUAAUGUGCCUGGGGGACAUAUUUUUAUGAUACACUGAAAAAGCUCCAAAAAUCAUUGAAAUCUAAAAAUAAAUAUUAUGCAUUUACAAAAUAUUUUGGUAUGAGUGUUUAAUCAUCAGACCUCAGUAAAUAUAAAAUAUAUGCUCCAGUGUAUCUGAAAAAUAAUAUACAUUUAAAAAAAUAUGUCUAUAUUAUGUAGAGAAUUCUAAAUUCACAUAACUGAAGCUAAUGGGUCUGAUCUCACAUAGCAGUUGGUUUUAUUGUCUCUUAAACUGAAUGAAAAAAGGAAAAUAAAUAUACAGAAUAUACAUUUGAAGGCUAUUAAGGUUAUAGAUAACCAUAAAAAGCUAGGAAAUACAGUAAAAAUAAUUUCUUCUCUUACAAGUGUGAUUCACUGGGGAAAGGACCCUAUAGUCACAAGGGUAAAACUGAAAUUUAGCUCUGAAAUUACCACAAUACCAAAUUGCAACCUCCGCUCCCCCAGCGAGUAGGGAGAAAGUGUUAGUUUUUCUGAUCGUUUCUUGCUUUUAUGAUCUGAGUAAGAACCUUAAUAGGCUUCACAGGAGAUUAUUUUAUAUGUUGGUUUUUUUUUAAUGACAUAAACGUAUAUGUGUGUGAUUUUCUACAUGCCUGCUCACACGGACGCGUUGUACAUAUGCAUGUGUAGUCAGGACGCACCUCCUCCCAGCGUACAUGCAGCCCGCGGGCCCCGCGCACGCCGCGGGGGUGUACGGUGGAUCUGUCUCCAAAGGUUUGGCUGAGCUUUUCCUUUGCCUGAGAAAGGGAUUUGCAUUUGGCCUGACUCUGCUUGGGUAUUUUAGAAAAUCAAAGCUGAGAUACCCUCAAAAGGAUGAAUGUACAGAACCCGGGUUACUAAUCCUGGUCUUUAGCCCGACACCUAACAUUCCUGUUUUUAUUCUUUUGUUUUCAUCUGACUGUAAGGGUCACGUUCUUCCUUGCAUGACAAUUCUGCAGAAAAGUCCUAUUUCCCCCUCUUAUUUUAGGGACAAAUUGUACAGAGUGAUUCCAUAGGGUACUGCAGGUUGAGAAGGAGGGAGGAUGUCCGGAGCUUGGGGAGAUACCGUAAAGACUGGAAGCACCGAUUGCAGGUAGUAACAGUUGUGUGUCUUUAAAAGCGCUAGAAGAUAUAAGCUACCAUCUGUACAGGACCUGUGUGUGGCAAAUUUCCGUCAUAUGCGUUUUGUUUGCAUCGUGGGCAUGUAUGUAUCAAGAGGAACAUAGAGUAACGUUAGACUAGCUCCCUCACGCUUAUGACUAACAAGAAUCAUCAUUAAAAUGUUUUGCCUUCCCUUCAUUUUCUCUCUCUCUUUUGUUUUCCCUGAUUUGACUCCGUCCUCUGCAUGCUGGCAGCAGCUCCCUCCCUGCCCAAGCUAAGCUCUGGUGCGGCGCGGGAAGCCUCCGGCUGGCAGCCGCCCCAGGGUGGGGGGGCUGUACGCUCGCCGGCAGCGGCGAGGGCUACCUAACCACUUGCUCAAGCUUUUUAUCACAUCCCUAGUUAUUGACACAGGCCUGGGAAGAAGUCAAGUCUUCCAAGCUGAAUCUUCACUCAAUUGUUUGAAAAUCAACCCAGCUGCCUAUAGCUUCCACUUGCCGUCAAGGAGCAACCUGGAAUGACUUGUGGCGCUCUCGAAUUGUCCCUCGCGACGUGUGAGACUCACGGUCUGAAGUGGAUGGAACCACCUGCCCAGGUGCUGCCUGGCUGCUUCUGCUUCGCAGGCCAAGCAGGGGAAGAGGUAACACAGGUGUUCAAAGGGGACUGAGGUACUUCCUUGAAGUUGAGUGCUGCCAGCCUAGGUGCCAUCUCCACUCUGGGAAUGAUUCCCUUCAGCAACGAAUCUCUGCCCGCAGGGCCCAAGGAUGCCUUGCUUCCUUGUCAGAAGUAAGCCAGCUCCUUCGUCCAAGGUGAAAUCCAAGGAAGUUUGGAGGACAAUUCACUCCGGGGACCAGAACCAAAGGCUGGCGUUCCCCUCGCUCCAGUCACCCACUUCUCUUGGCAGCACCAAGGCCUGUCCCUGGAGAGCAUCAUCCUAUGGUGGCACUUUUAGCACAAGGAACUCUCGUUACCAGAGGAAAAACAGAUGCUUCCCGUCCAGACUAAUCAGGGAAGAAGUUUUACCCAGAGGAUGAAUCUGCAUCUUCCUUUUUUAUACUGAAGUUCAAUGUGAAUACAAAGGAAAUCAAGUGUUUCGUACAUCAGAGGAGAAAGGCAGAAGAGGUGAGGCAGAAGGAAGACAUGAUAAAAAUAGGAUAUAAAAGAGCAUCAUAAAAAUACACUGGAGCAGAAGUGUCAGAACAGCCUUUAAAAUAUCCUGGAUGAUCGAUAUGACAAAUAAUACAGAACUGGUGCUUGCAGUAAGCAGGGGUCCAAAGUAUCCCACUUUAAUUACUUUCCCGGGGAGUUUCCAGGGAGCAGUGUGGACUGCUGGCUAGACAUCAGCCACUGGUCAAGCCUGGCAGCACAUGAGAUGGCUAUUCACCAGCAUCCUCUGUGACGGGAAUAUGUGCCAGCCAAACUCCCAAUAAACACGACAAGAUCCCCAAAAGCAGCAUAUCAAUGAAAAGACUGGGUUUUGUCAUGGAUGUCAGAACUGAAGAGAAAGUCAAAGUGGACAACUACAGUCUCAUUCCAUACCAGUGUGAGGGUUGCCUCUGGGAGCCUGUCGUACCAGACAUCUGACGUGCUUUCCUUGUCCCAUUGCCGAAGGUAGAAUCAAUUUUUUGAGAAGUGGAAGUAAUUCAUGUAAAAAAAUGAAACCAAAAUUACCCCCACUUACCUGCAUCCACCUUUACAAAGGCAAAGUUUAUAUUUUAGAGUUUAUUAUGAGAUUAGCUGCUCCACAGGUUUUCAGUCACAGCUAUGGUUGAAUGUGCCUUGGGCUUAGCUAUGUUGACAGUUGUAGAUUAAUCCCAUGCUGCUGUUUCUUCCAAGACUCUUGCACAAAUUAAUUCAAAGGAAGCUGUUGGUGCAGACUGCGCUGAACUUUGCAUUAACUGAGCUUGCUGCAAGGCAGGUGCAUGUGCAAGUCAAGCAUGACUCGAGGAGGGGAAUGAGCAUUCUGCGGUGAGAGAGGAGCAACAGCCCUUGGGUCUGGCAUUUUAGAACACGUGUCAUAGCCUCUGACCCAAAUUUUUGCUGAAUUCUCUGCCCAACAGUCUUCUUAGCUGCAUAGCACAAGGAAUCCAAAUGUCUGGCCAUGGGAAACUGAUACUGUGAAACUCUCUAUCUGUAUCACUGCAGUGGCCAGUUGUGAAGGAUAUUUCAACAUAAUAUUAUUCUUAUGAGGUUCACAACAAUUAUACUUCUCUUAGGCCUUUAUAUCACCACUUAUCAUGGUAUCUGAGCGUUAUAGAGUCAAAAGUAAUAGGAAACGCCAAGAACUGUGUGCAGUCCGUGGAAAUUCCCCCUCCGUGUGAUAGGGUGGCUUUUUCUUUUUCUACUUUUUAUCUUCUCCACUUUUAAUUUAUUUUCUGUUUAGUGAGAUGGCUUUACUAUUUAGUUAUGCUCCUGAUAGAGAAAAAACUUGUGAGGGUGGUUAAUUAUCUGGACUUGCCCAGCUUUUUUCAGAAAUGUGUUCAGUAGCUUAAUCCUUUGUCAAAGAAGGUCAUCUUAGAUAAUAAUGAUUAAAAAAAGCAUUGCAGAUGAGGACAUUAGACUUUUCUGCUUCUUUGUACCCUCAUGCUCCCCCUGGAAUGCAUCUAACCAGGAAGAUUCAUAGUGACAUUCAGAUACCACCUUUUGCACCUCGGGUUCUGUGGAACAUUCAAACACACUUCAUGCAGCCAUGCUUCUCUUUGGUGCAAAUCAAAGGCACCUGUGUGUAAUCCGGUUGUAUUUUGUCACUGAUGUAAUGACACCUAUUGGGAAGCGAUAGGAAGGAAAAAACCUGGGCUAAUUUCAACCUUUCAAAAAACCUGCAGUUUAAGCUUAAUGUCAGAAGAUGGCAGCAAUAAAGCACAAUCAAGGCCUUUUCGUCCCCAGGCUUUUCGUUUCAAAACAUGUUUUUGUUCCAGAAAGAGGUAAUUCUUUUAAAAGGAGUAAUUUUUAACAGAGGCAGCAAGUAUGACAGGCAUCCUUCCAGUAAACGUGUAUGCAUGACUUCCUUUCAUCCUAAUGGGAGGCAUGUAUCAAGAGCAGAACACAUCUUAUUAUAUGCAAGCCUGCUUUUAGAAAAAUCAUGUCGCUUUUUUAUCCUCGAAACUAGUGUUCCAUCUCAUGCAUUAGAGAAAAUAAUAUCAUAUUGCUGCAAAUGUUCACAUAUAUAAUUACCCAAUAUGGUGAAAAAUUACUGAAUUUUGAUGGCGAUGUCUUCUAAAUUGAAAAUUUAUUUUUAUUCCAAGCAUUUCUCCCAGCGAAGACCAUGUUCUGAAAUUCAGAAAAAACAGGGAGACUUUGCAGUGGGAAUAUCCAUCAGUGGCAUGAAUGUUCAGCAGUUUCACUCCACCUUGAAGAGUUUUGGCUGUGGGUCUGUUAGAUUCGCCCGUAGCUUAGCAGGGUGUCAUCCCUCAAAAGACACAACGGUGCCAAGAGACAAAGUUUUUUUGAUUGAGGCUGCUAUCUCAGAAAGAAAAGCCAAGAAAUGAGGCAUCGUCAUUGAGUCCAUGUCCCCUUCUGCGAUGAGAACUUGUUAGGUUACAAGACCGUGCUCUCAAGGUCUGCUAUCUGGUAUUACUAUCAAGAUGCUUUCUGAGCUUUGGCAUAACGAGUCCUGCCCUUCUUCAAGUUCUGACGUAAGCGGUUGCCUUACUUGGCUCUAUUCUCUUAAAUGCCAUUGCAUUUCACUCUCACUUCAGAGAGAUUUGAAGAAAUUCUAUCUACACUUUUUCCAUCACUUUAAGGGGACAGUCCUGGAAAUGCUCCUGUGUGAUGCAACCCAGAUGCUGGUUUUAACUGUGCUUAAUAUUGUCUGUGAUACAAAAUCAGUGCAGUAUUUCUACUGAUGACAGUGUUUAUCCCCUCAGUCAUGUACCCCAAAAUCUUCACUUCACUGGGAAUGUUUUGCUCCAGGACCUCUCUUUCUUCAGCUACUGCUUAAGAAGUAAGUUACUUUUUCCAGCCAGAGCUUCUCAAGUGCUCUGCUUUUGCAAUGUGCUACAGCCUUGUGACUUUCCCCUGAGAAUGAUGAACUUCAGAUAAUCUUUUAUCUCUGGGCUACGCAAUAUGCUUUUGUUUGACAAAGUCCAUACAUGUCCAGUUAAUAAGUUCAGGAGUCCAGACAACUUCUGUUUUUCACUGGAUAUAAAAACAUUAUGUACAAUGUAAAACAUGUCAAUACUGUCUUUAUUUUGCAAAAAUCUUCAUUUCUUUCAUCUCCAUUCAUGCCUGUUGCACAGGAAUAG